AUGCAAGUCGAACGCAGUAGCAAUACUGAGUGGCAGACGGGUGAGUAACAUGUGGGAAUCUGCCUUGUGGUUCAGGACAACAUUGGGAAACCGAUGCUAAUACUGGAUAAGCCCUUACGGGGAAAGUUUUAAUGCCAUAAGAUGAGCCCGCAUUUGAUUAGUUAGUUGGUGAGGUAAUGGCUCACCAAGACAAUGAUCAAUAGCUGAUCUGAGAGGAUGAUCAGCCACACUGGGACUGAGACACGGCCCAGACUCCUACGGGAGGCAGCAGUGGGGAAUCUUGCACAAUGGAGGAAACUCUGAUGCAGCGAUGCCGCGUGAGUGAAGAAGGCCUUUGGGUUGUAAAGCUCUUUUGUAGGGGAAGAUAAUGACUGUACCCUAAGAAUAAGGUCCGGCUAACUUCGUGCCAGCAGCCGCGGUAAUACGAAGGGACCUAGCGUAGUUCGGAAUUACUGGGCGUAAAGCGCGCGUAGGCCGUUGAGUUAGUUAAUUGUGAAAUCCCAAAGCUUAACUUUGGAACUGCAAUUAAAACUGCUCGACUAGAGUUUGAUAGAGGAAAGCGGAAUACAUAGUGUAGAGGUGAAAUUCGUAGAUAUUAUGUAGAACACCAGUUGCGAAGGCGGCUUUCUGGAUCAACACUGACGCUGAGGCGCGAAAGUAUGGGUAGCAAAGAGGAUUAGAUACCCUCGUAGUCCAUACCAUAAACGAUGAUUGCUAGAUGUUGGAAAUUUACUUUCAGUAUCGCAGCUAACGCAUUAAGCAAUCCGCCUGGGGAGUACGACCGCAAGGUUAAAACUCAAAUGAAUUGACGGGGACCCGCACAAGCGGUGGAGCAUGUGGUUUAAUUCGAAGAUACGCGCAGAACCUUACCAACCCUUGACAUGUCUGUCGCGAGUUUAGGAAACUAGACUUUUCGGUUCGGCCGGACAGAACACAGGUGCUGCAUGGCUGUCGUCAGCUCGUGU
rnacentral:rRNA from 1 species